AGCAAGCUUAUUGGCUGACUCUGACAGACACGCUUAGCAACUGACAGUCCGUCGUCCAAUCACAGGCGUAGAAAACGCGCCUAAUGCUGUGCAUGCCAGAAAUGGUUCAUCAAAGAAAAGUGAGCUGUAAUCCUCACAGUGAACUGCUUGGAAAUCCCCUGGCAAGUGCAUUACUGCAGCUGUGUUCAGCUCCAAAAUACAGCUAAAAGGCAAAGUUCAACAAGGCGGAAGAAAUACUUAAGUGCCUCAAUGUGACCCUCUUCUCAUUCAUUCUGACAAUACAUUUCUCAAAACAUUUUAAUCAGAGCUGCCAGAUAGUCAGAGGAGUCCUCUGCUGAGACAUUUAUUGUCAGGGCCUAAAAGUCAAACAAGCCCGACAGAAGUGGCCUGAAUUUGACUCGAGGUUCUCUUUUUUUCAGAUUUACUUUGUCAUGGAAAUGAAAGCAGACAUGUAUCCAAAUAUUUAUUCACUCUGUUUUCCCAUGACAACGAGUAGUUUACACUCUUGAAAUCUUGCCUUAUCUAUCUCCUAUUUCCAGAGUUUUAAUAGCACAAAACAAACAAGGCUUGUUAGGCUAAGCUUACCUCAUUAGCGUGGGCAAUGGCAGCAUGGCAGGUCUAAUUCUGGCCAAUCACAGUGAACAACAGCCUGUUUCCUUUUCUAGAUUAUCAGAAAAUCUUCUUGUUGUCACGAGAAAACAAGCUAUGUAAUAUCAAGGUGAUAAAAUGAAUGAAUAAUCGGAAAACCACCUUUAAAAAAAUACUGGAAAUUACCCGUCAUCAAGGAAAAAUUGAGUUAAUAAAAUGUAUGAAUGCAUGUCUGUUUAGGGCUUUUAUGAAAUAAAAGGAAUAACCUCUCAA